rnacentral:lncRNA from 1 species
CUUUUCAUUCCCGUUGUUAUGGAGGGCCACAUCUGCCAGAGCCUGGAGUCUGCGAAGGCCGGGACCCGGUUCCCCGGCCCACAGUGGGGGUGUGCAAACCCGAGAGAACUGGGUGAGAGGCUCUCUGGUGUAGGGUUUAACAUGGAACGUAGUUUUGUCACUUGAAUGCACGGAAAUUGGCGUUUUGACAGUUUUCUACGUUUAGGUGUUUUAUACACUUUAGGGUAACGUUAUCAUGUCAUUGCAUAGGGUGGAACUUAAAUAGAAACUGGAGAUGGCUGCUUCAGCCACAGUCCUAACCUAGAACUGCAUUUAAAGCAAACUGAUAAUGCAGAAACAAACUCCUUCGUUAAGAAAUGUCUCCAGUAGCAGGGUUAGCUUAAGUUUCAGGUAGGGUCUAGAUCUGCGGUUGGAACAGUACUGGAGGGUUGUGAGGUGCUUGACUGCUCUGAUGAAAUCACUAAUAGGAAGUGCCGUCAGAAGCGAUAACUGACGAAGACUACUCCUGUCUGAUUGCAGUCAAGUCUUCACCACUUGCUGGUUCCCAGGAGUAAACUUGUUUGAACGGUGACCUAAUUGCUAUAUUCACCU